rnacentral:rRNA from 1 species
CCUACGGGAGGCAGCAGUGGGGAAUUUUGGACAAUGGGGGCAACCCUGAUCCAGCCAUGCCGCGUGAGUGAAGAAGGCCUUCGGGUUGUAAAGCUCUUCGAGAGAAUUCUCGGUACCGUAAUAAGAAGCACCGGCUAACUACGUGCCAGCAGCCGCGGUAAUACGUAGGGUGCGAGCGUUAAUCGGAAUUACUGGGCGUAAAGCGUGCGCAGGCGGUUCGCCAAGUCAGGUGUGAAAUCCCCGGGCUUAACCUGGGAAUUGCGCUUGAAACUAGCGGGCUUGAGUGCGGCAGAGGGGGGUGGAAUUCCACGUGUAGCAGUGAAAUGCGUAGAGAUGUGGAGGAACACCGAUGGCGAAGGCAGCCCCCUGGGUGAACUGACGCUCAUGCACGAAAGCGUGGGGAGCAAACAGGAUUAGAUACCCUUGUAGUC